CCUACGGGUGGCAGCAGUGAGGAAUAUUGGUCAAUGGGCGGGAGCCUGAACCAGCCAAGUCGCGUGAGGGACGACGGUCCUAUGGAUUGUAAACCUCUUUUGUCGGGGAACAAAGGCGUCCACGGGUGGGCGGAUGAGUGUACCCGAAGAAAAAGCAUCGGCUAACUCCGUGCCAGCAGCCGCGGUAAUACGGAGGAUGCGAGCGUUAUCCGGAUUUAUUGGGUUUAAAGGGUGCGUAGGCGGACAGUCAAGUCAGCGGUAAAAAUGCGGUGCUCAACGCCGUACAGCCGUUGAAACUGGCAGUCUUGAGUAUCGGAGAGGCAGGCGGAAUUCCUAGUGUAGCGGUGAAAUGCGUAGAUAUUAGGAGGAACACCAGUGGCGAAGGCGGCCUGCUGGACGACAACUGAUGGUGAGGCGCGAAAGCGUGGGGAGCAAACAGGAUUAGAUACCCGAGUAGUC
rnacentral:rRNA from 1 species